CUCGAUUAAGCAUUAGAAAACGUAGGCUGCAACAGCGUGCUUACAGACGAAGAAGGAUAUAUUAGGGAUCACUAUAUUUCUAUCUUUUCUGUUUGUUCAAAUGGUAUUUCUUCUCCAAGAAGUAUUUGGCAAAGGAAGGGGGUAAUGUUUUUUUUUUUACUUUUUAAGUGUAAUUUCACGGAUCCGAGAUACUAGACAAACAAUACAUUUACCUCACACUUUUUAAGUAAUGCAUUUAUGAGUGAAUCGUUAUUUGAGUAAAGACCAGUGGCAAAUAUUUUUGUGUAAGUCAAGUCGAUUCGGAAAGACCUUAAUUUUCAAAUGAAUUAUGU
rnacentral:lncRNA from 1 species